AGUAGUUUAAAUUAUCAUGUGUUUGCAUCGUUUGUUAUGAUAUCAUAUAUUAUUCACCUGAAUGAGGGACUUGAUAUCUUCUAGGCCAACGUUAUUUUUUUGUCUCAGAGAUUUGUUGGUGUUUAUAUGUUGACAUUUGUGGUGGCAGUGCUGCACCGGCAACUAUCUGCCUAUUCACAGAUAGGCACCCUCUUGUAUCAAACUGGCAACUAAGCAUGCAGCAAGCCUUGUUACUAAAUUUAAGCUUUCUAAGGUUGUUGAUAUUCUACCACAAAGGGAGGAAAGAUUAGGCUGCUAAAUUUGAGAUGUUGGGCUUAUUCUGGAACUUAUCAACAACGUUGCUGAAACACAUGGUGGCUCACCCAUUUGUGUUUCAUCUUGGCUGACAACAAAUAUGCUCUUCUACAUACGCCUCUAUGGUCAAAUGAAUGAGCCACCGGAUUCUCGUGCCCGUGUUGGUUUUACUUGACUGACUAUAGUAGAACACUAAGAUUUUAUUAGCAACUUUUUUUGUUUCAUAAUAUUUUUGUAUCGAAUUCAUACAUGGUUGA